AUCCGUCCACCGGUGGUCGGAUUGCCUGUCAAAGUUGGCAAGAGGAACUGGUCCACCGGUGGACGGAUUCCUGGGCAAUGUUUAGCAGGAGGAAUCCGUCCACCGGUGGAUGGAUUGGCUGCCUAAUUUGACAAGAGAGACUGGUCCACCGGUGGACGGAUUCCUGGACAAUGUUUUGCAGGAGGAGUCCGUCCACCGGUGGAUGGAUUGGCUGCCUAAUUUGGCAAGAGAAACUGGUCCACCGGUGGACGGAUUCCUGGGCAAUGUUUUGCAGGAGGAAUCCGUCCACCGGUGGUCGGAUUGGCUGCCUAAUUUGGCAAGAGGAACUGGUCCACCGGUGGACGGAUUCCUGGGCAAUGUUUUGCAGGAGGAAUCCGUCCACCGGUGGUCGGAUUGGCUGCCUAAUUUGGCAAGAGAAACUGGUCCACCGGUGGACGGAUUCCUGGGCAAUGUAUUGUUUUUUUUUUGUUUAUGGAUGGUCCCAAACUAACUUUAUUCUAUUUUAGGCCGUCUCGAGGUAAUUAUUGUGCGAUCCGGAAGUCAACAUCGCCCAACUAAGGUGUGCAACGGAGUUAGUUGAACCGUCCCGUUUUUCCGUAUCAAUUUUAUCACCUGCAGCGGUGGAUCAACGGGCGCGAUCAACAUGCUCAAGUGCUUUCUCAACGACGGUCUGGGUUCGUCUUCGCUGCAGCCAUUGGCCUGGAUGAUCUGCGGGAGGAUGGCACCAGCGAUGACCAGUAAAGCCGAGGCAGCAGUUGCCUCCUCGACGGCCGUGAUAGACCCGUGUUCAUCUACUUGACGGCGGGUAGCCUCCAGCAGUACCGCUUGUUCCUUCUCCUGCUCCUCCGGUUCCUUAAAAAAGAACAGAUCGGGCCUCAGCUCCCACUUGGCCGCUGGUCAUAAGCGGCCACGGGAAGUCGUAGAGGAACUACAGAUAUGGAGGAAUAGUCCGGUGAAAAGAUUCGGAGGAUUGACGGAAUGAUUGACGACGGUAAGCAACUGCCAACCAAGAACUUCAAGGACUACAUCGAUCUCUACGUCAAGGAGCAGCAGGAAGAUGAUAGUUCGACGAUUAAGGCCUGCUACGAGAAUGCCAACGAGCGCUGAGAAGUUGUGGUAGACAUCUCGGAGAAAGGCUUCCAGCAGGUUUCGUUCGUCAACUCGAUCGCUACGACCAAGGAAGGUCGCCACGUGGACUACGUCACGGACAUCGUCGUGAAGCAGCUGAAGCUGAAGAAGAACAUG